rnacentral:tRNA from 1 species
GGGGGUGUAGCUCAGUUUGGGAGAGCGCGACAAUCGCACUGUCGAGGUCAGGGGUUCGAUCCCCCUCACCUCCACCA